AUGAAGGAUGUUAGAGCCUGGGAUGCUGAGGCAGGAUAAUCAUUAGUUACCUGGAAAAGUCUACUAACUAAAGCACUCUUAAAAGAAAUGGACCAUAAUUGCAACAAAACAUUUAGAACAGGAUUUUAAAGUUCCAAUUCAAGCCAAAUAAAAUGAAAAGUAUGGAAAUAAACAUUCAAGGGAUCCUGCACACACCCUAGAGAUUUGUGGAAAGUAAACUCAGCAGAGUGUCUGGAAUACCUCCACUAACUUCUCAAAAGAUGCUGCUGAUUCACUGAUUCUCAAAAAUUAUAAUUCAAUUUUCUCAGCUAUUAUCCUGUAACAAUCAAUUUGUAUAGUAAAUGAAAGCCAAAAGCAUAUUCGUUUUAUUUACAAGGAUGAUAAAAUAGAAACAUCAUUCAUCUGUUUCCAUUCCUGAACUUUCAUGCCUGAUUCGUCUUUAUACUCACUUUCACCCUCUGUGGAUACUUUAAUAUCCAUUUUGAUCCCUGUGUGAGAAAUUCUGCUAAAUUACUUUACUCUCUAGGGUCAGAGUAUUCAAGAUAAAACAUUCCUGGAAAAAUGUAUUUCUACCAGGAAAAGAUAGACUUAAAAAAGGAGGGGAAGACAGCAGGGUUAGAGGAAAACUGUGUGCCCACACUUUAGUAGAAAUUAUCGAAAUCACAGCAUGCGUGGGGAAAUCUCCUUCUAUGGAUGAAUUACUAUAAUUGGUUCUCUAUAUUACUUGAAUUUUUCAUUUGGGCUUUUAAGCUAUAUUUAGAUAAAAGAAUUUGGGAAAUAUUAAGCUGUACUGCCACAAAUAUGAAUCAAAUAAAACUAUAUUUCUAAAAACCACUG
rnacentral:antisense_RNA from 1 species